CCGGCGCACGGGUGAGUAACACGUAUCCAACCUGCCGUCUACUCUUGGCCAGCCUUCUGAAAGGAAGAUUAAUCCAGGAUGGGAUCAUGAGUUCACAUGUCCGCAUGAUUAAAGGUAUUUCCGGUAGACGAUGGGGAUGCGUUCCAUUAGAUAGUAGGCGGGGUAACGGCCCACCUAGUCUACGAUGGAUAGGGGUUCUGAGAGGAAGGUCCCCCACAUUGGAACUGAGACACGGUCCAA
rnacentral:rRNA from 1 species